rnacentral:rRNA from 1 species
UACGGAGGGGGCCAGCGUUGUUCGGAAUUAUUGGGCGUAAAGGGCGCGUAGGCGGCUGCUCAAGUCGGACGUGAAAUCCCUCGGCUCAACCGGGGAACUGCGUCCGAUACUGUGCGGCUUGAGUCCCGGAGAGGGUAGUGGAAUUCCCAGUGUAGCGGUGAAAUGCGUAGAUACUGGGAGGAACAUCGGUGGCGAAGGCGGCUACCUGGACGGGUACUGACGCUGAUGCGCGAAAGCCAGGGGAGCAAACAGG